rnacentral:rRNA from 1 species
GACGAACGCUGGCGGCGUGCCUAAUACAUGCAAGUUGAGCGCUGAAGGUUGGUACUUGUACCAACUGGAUGAGCAGCGAACGGGUGAGUAACGCGUGGGGAAUCUGCCUUUGGGCGGGGGACAACAUUUGGAAACGAAUGCUAAUACCGCAUAAAAACUUUAAACACAAGUUUUAAGUUUGAAAGAUGCAAUUGCAUCACUCAAAGAUGAUCCCGCGUUGUAUUAGCUAGUUGGUGAGGUAAAGGCUCACCAAGGCGAAGAUACAUAGCCGACCUGAGAGGGGGAUCCGCCACAUUGGGACGGAGACACGGCCCAAACUCCUUCGGGAGGCAGCAGUAGGGAAUCUUCGGCAAUGGACGAAAGUCUGACCGAGCAACGCCGCGUGAGGGAAGAAGGUUUUCGGAUCGUAAAACUCUGUUGGUAGAGAAGAAAGAUGGGGAGAGUGGAAAGCUCAUCAAGUGACGGUAACUACCCAGAAAGGGACGGCUAACUACGUG